ACAGCAGCAGCCACGGUAAUACGUAGGGUGCGAGCGUUAAUCGGAGUAACUGGGCGUAAAGCGUGCGCAGGCGGUUAUAUAAGACAGAUGUGAAAUCCCCGGGCUCAACCUGGGACCUGCAUCUGUGACUGUAUAGCUAGAGUACGGUAGAGGGGGAUGGAACUCCGCGUGUAGCAGUGAAAUGCGUAGAUAUGCGGAGGAACACCGAUGGCGAAGGCAAUCCCCUGGACCUGUACUGACGCUCAUGCACGAAAGCGUGGGGAGCAAACAGGAUUAGAUACCCCAGUAGUCCCUGUCUCUUAUAU
rnacentral:rRNA from 1 species